rnacentral:rRNA from 1 species
GACGAACGCUGACGGCAGGCCUAACACAUGCAAGUCGAACGCGAAAGGGACUUCGGUCCUUAGUAGAGUGGCGCACGGGUGAGUAACGCGUGGGAACGUACCCUGGAGUGGGGAAUAACCAUUGGAAACGAUGGUUAAUACCGCAUAAUGUCUUCGGACCAAAGAUUUAUCGCUCUUGGAUCGGCCCGCGUUAGAUUAGUUUGGUGGUGGGGUAAUGGCCUACCAAGACUACGAUCUAUAGCUGGUUUGAGAGGACGACCAGCCACACUGGGACUGAGACACGGCCCAGACUCCUACGGGAGGCAGCAGUGGGGAGUAUUGGACAAUGGGCGCAAGCCUGAUCCAGCCAUUCCGCGUGAGUGAUGAAGGCCUUAGGGUUGUAAAGCUCUUUCAACGGUGAAGAUGAUGACGGUAACCGUAGAAGAAGCCCCGGCUAACUUCGUGCCAGCCGCCGCCGUAA